UGGUGGACCACAAUUCAUAUUGCAUAGCCCGCGUGCAUCCCGCACGCUCGCAUGGGCCUGGGCCAUGUGCCUGUGUUGGCCCAUGCACACCUGCUGCCCGCAUUGGGCCACACGCUGCUAGCCCUACCAUGUCAUUUUUGAGCUUCUCUACCUUGUGGUUUCUCCUACAGGCUUCUUUAUCUUGUGUUUUUCUCCAGUGGAUCGAAUUUAAGGCA
rnacentral:lncRNA from 1 species